UACGUAGGGGGCAAGCGUUGUCCGGAAUCAUUGGGCGUAAAGCGCGUGUAGGCGGCUGAGUAAGUCUGCUCUGAAAGCCCGGGGCUCAACCCCGGGAGGCGGGUGGAUACUGCUCAGCUCGAGUCCGGAAGAGGAGUGUGGAAUUCCUGGUGUAGCGGUGAAAUGCGCAGAUAUCAGGAAGAACACCCGUGGCGAAGGCGGCUCUCUGGGACGGUACUGACGCUGAGACGCGAAAAGCGUGGGGAGCGAACAGG
rnacentral:rRNA from 1 species